GCCAGUGUGAUAUAGUGGUUUAAAUGUUGGAUUAAGACUCUGGAGAUCAGGGUUCAAAUCCCCACUUGGCC